rnacentral:rRNA from 1 species
UACGUAGGGGGCUAGCGUUGUCCGGAAUCAUUGGGCGUAAAGAGCGUGUAGGCGGCCCGGUAAGUCCGCUGUGAAAGUCGGGGGCUCAACCCUCGAAUGCCGGUGGAUACUGUCGGGCUAGAGUGCGGAAGAGGCGAGUGGAAUUCCUGGUGUAGCGGUGAAAUGCGCAGAUAUCAGGAGGAACACCGAUUGCGAAGGCAGCUCGCUGGGACGUAACUGACGCUGAGACGCGAAAGCGUGGGGAGCGAACAGG